CCUUCUUCCACGGUUAAACCAAUCAUCGGCACAAACGUCAACAAGGAACACCCCCGAAGUAGUCCCUCCUUCCUCCAGGGUUAAACCAAUCAUCGGAGCACACGUCAUCACGGAUGUCGACAUUACUACUGUACUUCCUAAGGAGGACGACCGGAAUAAGUCUGAUUAGUUUGGUAGCGAAGAAGUAGACUCCCAUUAGUCUCAGCAAGCACAAUUAAAUGAGGAAAGGGAUAUACAGAAACCUCUAUCUCUAUCCCAAAGAAUUGUAAUUGGGGACAUGGUAAAGGCACAAG